GACGAACGCUGGAGGCGUGCUUAACACAUGCAAGUCGAACGAUGAAAUGGAGCUUGCUCCGUGGAUUAGUGGCGAACGGGUGAGUAACACGUGAAUAACCUGCCCUUAAUUUUGGAAUAACCCAGGGAAACCUGGGCUAAUACCGGAUAAGUAAACCUGUGGCAUCACAUGGUUUUGGAAAGUUUUUCGAUUAAGGAUGGAUUCGCGGCCUAUCAGCUUGUUGGUGAGGUAAUGGCUCACCAAGGCGACGACGGGUAGCCGGCCUGAGAGGGUGAACGGCCACACUGGGACUGAGACACGGCCCAGACUCCUGCGGGAGGCAGCAGUGGGGAAUAUUGCGCAAUGGACGAAAGUCUGGCGCAGCGACGCCUCGUGAGGGACGAAGGUCUUCGGAUUGUAAACCUCUUUCAGCAGGGACGAAGCGAAAGUGACGGUACCUGCAGAAGAAGCACCGGCUAACUAUGUGCCAGCAGCCGCAGUAA
rnacentral:rRNA from 1 species